rnacentral:rRNA from 1 species
CCCGCUGAACUUAAGCAUAUCAAUAAGCGGAGGAAAAGAAACCAACAGGGAUUGCCUCAGUAGCGGCGAGUGAAGCGGCAAGAGCUCAGAUUUGAAAUCGUGCUUUGCGGCACGAGUUGUAGAUUGCAGGUUGGAGUCUGUGUGGAAGGCGGUGUCCAAGUCCCUUGGAACAGGGCGCCCAGGAGGGUGAGAGCCCCGUGGGAUGCCGGCGGAAGCAGUGAGGCCCUUCUGACGAGUCGAGUUGUUUGGGAAUGCAGCUCCAAGCGGGUGGUAAAUUCCAUCUAAGGCUAAAUACUGGCGAGAGACCGAUAGCGAACAAGUACUGUGAAGGAAAGAUGAAAAGCACUUUGAAAAGAGAGUGAAACAGCACGUGAAAUUGUUGAAAGGGAAGGGUAUUGCGCCCGACAUGGGGAUUGCGCACCGCUGCCUCUCGUGGGCGGCGCUCUGGGCUUUCCCUGGGCCAGCAUCGGUUCUUGCUGCAGGAGAAGGGGUUCUGGAACGUGGCUCUUCGGAGUGUUAUAGCCAGGGCCAGAUGCUGCGUGCGGGGACCGAG